CUUGGAAGUCAUUCAACAUGCUCCUUGUGAACUCCCCCAGGGCAGAAAUGCAGCAAGGGUAACAAGUUGAGCGGUUGGUUUGGCUUCCAUUUUU
rnacentral:SRP_RNA from 2 species